ACGAACCAAGCGAACGUUAUUCGGAAUUACUGGGCUUAAAGCGCGUGUAGGCGGAUGGCCACGUCGGUUGUUGAAAUCCCCCGGCUUAACCGGGGAACAGGCACCGAUACGAGUCGUCUAGAGGUGGGUAGGGGAGACUGGAACUUCCGGUGGAGCGGUGAAAUGCGUUGAGAUCGGAAGGAACGCCUGCGGCGAAAGCGAGUCUCUGGCCCCAUACUGACGCUGAGACGCGAAAGCCAGGGGAGCAAACGGGAUUAGAUACCCCGGUAGUCCUGGCUGUAAACAUUGGGCACUGAAUAGUAGAACCGCCGAUGGUUUUACUGUUGAAGGGAAACCGUGAAGUGCCCCGCCUGGGGAGUAUGGUCGCAAGGCUG
rnacentral:rRNA from 1 species